CAGGCUUUUAGUUUUGUUCAUGGAUGCUUCACGUGUCUUCAUGAUUAUGAGUCCAGUGGUUACUAUGGAAUAAACUUCUCAUUGAUGAUCAUAAGCGAGCAGGAGAAAAGACCAAACCAGAUGAUGUGCGGUAUGGACCAUGUUAGCCCGAGUGGCUGAAGAAUUAUUUCCAGUGAUAGAGUUUUCGCUAGAGAAUGAAGCCAAAUAAUUGAAAACAGAAGCGAAAGGGAGCUGCAUACAGUUAUGACUGAUGCAUUUGGUUCUCUCCAUGUUUCUAAUAAUAUAGCCGACUCAAAAACAACUGGGCAUGAGCUGGCCACUGAGACUGGAGAACAAAGCGUUUGGUUUGAUCAUUCUUAAAAGGAACAGAACUUUUUGUAAAACCCCAGAGCCCUCAACACGGCUUCAUUUCACAUUCUUUUCUGUAUGUACUGUUCUCAGCAUGAAGCAGUUCCAAAAGACAUUAGAACUGUGAGUUUCAGGAAACCUUUGGAUCAAAUAAUUACCAUUUCCUUCAUUAUAUAUUAUUUCAGGAUGAUUUGCCUUUUGUUUCUGAAGCAUAAAUGGUGCUGUA